UAAGAUCUAAUGAUGAUUUUAUAGUUCAACUGAUAAAUACAAUGAUAAUAACUAAAACCAUUGUCUUUCACCCCUAUCUGAUGAUGAUU